ensembl:lincRNA
CACUUAUUAAUCAGCGCUGACCAGAGGCCCCCUUUGAAACAAGAGAAGAGGGGAGAGAGAGAGAGAGAGAAAGAGAGAGAGAGAGAGAGAGGGAGAAGGAGAGAUUGGGGUGAAAAGAAGAUUGAGAAGCCCUGGACAGAUCUUUCUAAAGCCAGAGCAACCAUAGGGUACUUUCCUCCAGUGGCCAAAGUUUAUUUGACACAACAAAGUUUUUAAUCAGGCCACGGAGACCUGGAUUUCUCCUCAUUUGCCUGACUCCCCCGUCUCUCCCUCUGAAGAUGUUGGAGACUUUGUUUCGAGGAAGGAUGGCUUUAGGUCAAAUUGCUAAAGCCUGAUCUUAAAGAUCUAAUUGCUAUUGGAAGAGAAGCCUGUUUCUCAGCUGGGCCUCCACUCUGGAGAUGGCGCAAAGAAGACUGUCCACUCUGCUCUGGGCACCCUGCUGAUGGAUGAGGUGUCAGGCCAGUCGUCAUGUGAGGACUGGUUUCCAAAUGCAGAAUCCCACUGGACCAGAAAGAUGACUAGAUGGUACAGAGUGCUGAGAGCCAAGAUGAUCUUUAAGGAUGUUUAUGGAUGUGGUACCCAAGAGAGAUGUACAUCCACCCUAAGAAGAUCAGCUAUCAUGUGGAGGCACAAACACGGGGCUAAGAGUAAGGCUGUCCAAUCUACCUUCUUCAAGGAAACUUAGUAAAUGAAACAAAUGGAUCACAGUCCAAAAUGGCACAAAA